rnacentral:lncRNA from 1 species
AGAAAGGUGACCAAACCCUCCAAGAUGGAAACUCACCUCCCUCAACUGACCAGCCUGGGAGUGGCCAGCCGUGGAGGAGCCCACGGGACAUAGAGCCGAGGAGCACAGGAGCCUGGCUGGGCCUUGUUCCUGGGACAGGACCACAGCGCAGAUCACAGCCCUGCCUGAACACAGACAGGAGUAACCCAGGGAACAUAGUACUCAGGAGACCACGGAAAAGGCAAGGGAUCCAGAGAGGAAGGCUCAGACCCCGGAAGAGUUGGCCAAGUCCCUGACAUUUCUUCUAGCCCCUCAGUUGACCUGGACCAGGUCAUUAUCAGUCCUGCACCAUCAUCAUCACAACCGCCAUAGUCACUGUCAGCAGCAGCAGCUUCUUCAUCACCAUCGCUGCUGUCACCAGCAUCACCAUCACGGCCACCAUCACCACCACCAUCACCACCAUCACCACCAUCACCAUCGUCACCAGCAUCACCAGCAUCACCACCAUCAACGUCAUCACCACCAUCACCAUCAUCACCACCAUCACCACCAUCACCACCAUCAUCACCCACCAUCACCAGCAUCAGCAUCACCAGCGUCACCAGCAUCAUCAGGAUCACCAGCAUCACCAGCAUCAGCAUCACCACCAUCACCAGCAUCACCACCAUCAACGGCAUCACCAGCGUCACCACCAUCACCACCAUCACCACCAUCAUCACCACCAUCACCAUCAUCACCACCACCAUCAUCACCAUCAGCAUCACCAGCAUCACCACCAUCAUCACCACCAUCACCAGCAUCACCACCAUCAACGUCAUCACCAUCAUCACCACCAUCACCACCAUCACCACCAUCACCAGCAUCAUCACCACCAUCACCACCAUCACCAGCAUCACCACCACCACCAGUCAUGCUCUAAGCAUACUCUCUCUCCCACCUCUAUGCAUAUGCUGUCUCUCUUUCCAGAACUCUCUGAACACCUUCACCUGAAGAAGAUCUACUCAACCACUAGGUCUAAGCUGGGAAAGCUCCUCAUGGAACUUCCCCCUGAGAACCUCCACCCCCUGCCCAGAGCCCCUUUCCCCAUCACAGCACCGAGUGCGCUAGAUUCAAGCCGCUUGUUGGCGUGUCUGUCCAUGCAACUAGGAGGUAAGACCUUUGAAGGUCACCUUGCCCACCCUCGUGUUCCCCAGCUCAUGGUCCAUGUGCAAAUGAACACACAUCCAUGACGGUGCAUUAAGCACCCCGGUCUGCACUCCUGCUCGGGCUGGCAGCGUACCCACAGGAUUUCUG